UUUUUACCUUUGUCCCUUGGCUUCCUUUUUGAGUGAUCCUCAGCUCUACACAGAGAAUUUCCUUCAUCUUCAUUGAUCCCUGCGUCAGAGAGCCGACUCCCACCAAACACUGCACUGCACAACCAAUCAGUCUGCUAACUGAAGAAAGAGAAAUAUGAAGCUCUCCAUUUUCUUGAUGGUGGUGUUCUCUGUCACUGUGCUCUGUGUGGAUUAUGAACAUGUUAAGAAGUUCAAAAACCAGCAUAUCAUCGAACCAGACACAAAAAUGUCGUCCGUUUCUUCUAGCAGAUCAGCACAAGAAUGGAAUCACAACAGUGUUGAAAAGUUCAAAAAACAGCAUAUCAUCAAACCAGGCACAAAA